AGUGAUAGUUCAAGGAAGUGGUAGCUCAGGGAAGUGGUAGCUCAGGAAGUGGUAGCUCAAGGACGUUGUAGGUCAGGGAAGUGGUAGUUCAAGGAAGUAUUAGCUCAGGAAGUGGUAGGUCAGCAAAGUGGUAGCUCAGGGAAGUGGUCACAAAGGGAAGUGGUAGGUCAGGGAAGUGGUCACAACGGGAAGUGGUAGCUCAGGGAAGUAGUAGGUCAGGGAAGUGGUCACAAAGGGAAGUGGUAGGUCAGCGAAGUGGUCACAAAGGGAAGUGGUAGGUCAGGGAAGUGGUCACAAAGGGAAGUGGUAGGUCAGGGAAGUGGUAGGUCAGCGAAGUGGUCACAAAGGGAAGUGGUAGGUCAGGGAAGUGGUCACAAAGGGAAGUGGUAGGUCA
ensembl:lncRNA